rnacentral:tRNA from 1 species
GGACUCGUUGCUCAGUUGGGUAGAGCGUUGGCUGUGCCAAAGCCUUCCCCUUGCUGGCGUGGGUUCGUGUCCCACUCAGGCCG